rnacentral:rRNA from 1 species
UGCCAGCAGCCGCGGUAAUAUGGAGGGGGUUUGCGUUGUUCGGAAUUACUGGGCGUAAAGCGCACGUAGGCGGAUUAGUAAGUUAGGGGUGAAAUCCCGGGGCUCAACCCUGGAACUGCCUUCAAUACUGUCAGCCUUGAGUCCGAGAGAGGUGAGUGGAAUUCCUAGUGUAGAGGUGAAAUUCGUAGAUAUUAGGAAGAACACCAGUGGCGAAGGCGGCUCACUGGCUCGGUACUGACGCUGAGAUGCGAAAGCGUGGGGAGCAAACAGGAUUAGAUA